rnacentral:tRNA from 2 species
UGUGACCGGGCUGGUGUUCGAUCAGGAGGGCUCUCAUCUCUUUUUGAUUCCUCGAGCAAAAGGGCGCUGGUUCCCGCCCGGUGGUCACGU